UGGUGGCGACCGGCGCACGGGUGAGUAACGCGUAUGCAACCUACCUUUCAGAGGGGAAUAACCCGGCGAAAGUCGGACUAAUACCCCAUAAAACAGGGACACCGCAUGGUGAUAUUUGUUAAAGAAAUUCGCUGAUAGAUGGGCAUGCGUUCCAUUAGGUAGUUGGUGAGGUAACGGCUCACCAAGCCGACGAUGGAUAGGGGAACUGAGAGGUUGGUCCCCCACACUGGUACUGAGACACGGACCAGACUCCUACGGGAGGCAGCAGUGAGGAAUAUUGGUCAAUGGGCGAGAGCCUGAACCAGCCAAGUCGCGUGAAGGAAGAAGGAUCUAUGGUUCGUAAACUUCUUUUGCAGGGGAAUAAAGUGCAGGACGUGUCCUGCUUUGUAUGUACCCUGAGAAUAAGGAUCGGCUAACUCCGUGCCAGCAGCCGCGGUAAUACGGAGGAUCCGAGCGUUAUCCGGAUUUAUUGGGUUUAAAGGGUGCGUAGGUGGUUUGAUAAGUCAGCGGUGAAAGUUUGCAGCUUAACUGUAAAAAUGCCGUUGAAACUGUCGGACUUGAGUGUAAAUGAGGUAGGCGGAAUGCGUGGUGUAGCGGUGAAAUGCUUAGAUAUCACGAAGAACUCCGAUUG
rnacentral:rRNA from 1 species